CAAGAGCAGAAUGAAGGAGAACAGGGAGAGAUGAAGGAGAUCCUUUGCAAGAAGCAUAUUCUCAUGGGAGGUGUCAUCGCAGCUGAAAACAGUGGACGGAGACUCUGCAAAUGUGUAAACUGACUGAUUCCAAACUGCUGCUCUUUCUUCUGCACCACACUGUGCCCAUGUGGUUCUGGGGAUGAAGCAUGCACCGAGGUGGCUACCCUUGGAGAGUCCUUUCUGGUCUCAGAGCUGACAUAAGAAUGAAGCAGCCUUACAAGUGUGAGUUCCCGGUGCCAGGGCCUUGAAAGAAUUGCACAACUUUUUGGCAGCCCCAAGAAGCCCUGAAAUAAAGCUGGGGACCCAAGCAGACUUCGUGGGCAUCCUGGUGGCAACAGCAUUCACCACAUAAAACAAUGAAGCCACAAAGACUCAGGAAGCCACCCAGAGGAGCAGCUUUGGCUGGACAAUGUUUCCAAGCAAGAGAGAGAAAACAGUCACAAAAGAAAGUGGGUUUUCGUGAUGAGCAAAGCUUCUUUCAGGCAAACUAGAUCUUGAAAGUAUCCUUUCCUCCACAUGAAGUGCUGUGAGCCUGUGAGCACUCUCCCACUACAGCAGCGGGAAGCAGUAGGUCUUGGAGGAGGUUGGGAACAGGGGGUUUUGGACACAGACUAGAUGCAGGCUCAAGUCUCAGCUCUGCCAUUUCCUAACUCUGUGACAGGGGUGUCCAAUCUUUUGGCUUCCCUGGGCCACCUUGGAAGAAGAAGAAUUGUUUAGGGCCACACAUAACAUAUACUAACGAUAGCUGAUGAGCUAAAAAAAACAAAAUCGCAAAAUAAUCUCAUAAUGUCUUAAAGUUUACGAAUUUGUGUUGGGCUGCAUUCAAAGUCAUCCUGGGCUGCUGGUUAGACAAACUUGCUCUGAGGCAGACUAGGUUAUCUGUCAGCCUCUGUUUCAUCAUCUAUAAAAUGGAAACUGUUGGAUUUAUGUCACAGGACUGUUAUAACAGUUAAAUGAGGCCAUGUUUGUAUGCAGCAUAAGAGGCGUGCAAAGUGCUUGAUACAUAGUAAGCACUUAAUAGAUAGCAGCUGCUUUUUAGACCUCAUGGUGCUCCCUGCCGGAUUCUUCCUUCUGCUAAACACUGGACGAGCGGCUCCCUCUGAGAUGCUCUGCCCCAGGUAGCCCCAAGGCUUGCACCCUCUGAAGUCAGGACUCUCUGGUCAAAGGUUGGCUCUCCAGAGACUGCCCCUGACCGCCUGACCCAGAGCAGCUCCCAUCCUUCUACCCCACUCUGCAUGUUGGUGUCUCUCACUAUGGGAAGCUGUGCUGUAGAUUACUGUGUUUAUUUGUUUAUUGUCUAUCUCCUUCCCCUAGAACAGCAGUCACCAUUCUUUUUGGCACCAGUAACUGGUUUUGUGGCAGACAAUUUUUCUAUGGACCC